rnacentral:tRNA from 1 species
GCCGGAGUGGUGAAAUUGGUAGACACGCCAUCUUGAGGGGGUGGUGGGCCUAGCCCGUGCUGGUUCGAAUCCAGUCUCCGGCACCA